CUGCAGCCAACAAAGCCAACUGUGCGGCCUCCCCAUGGAGAGUCUGGUGUGCGACAGUAGCAAACAGUGGCCUCCUCAGUAGUGUACGCGGCCUGUUGCUUGUAUGUGUUGCCUUACAGGACCCUAGACACAGCC
rnacentral:snoRNA from 1 species